rnacentral:rRNA from 1 species
AUUGAACGCUGGCGGCAUGCCUUACACAUGCAAGUCGAACGGCAGCACGGGUGCUUGCACCUGGUGGCGAGUGGCGAAAGGGUGAGUAAUACAUCGGAACAUGUCCUGUAGUGGGGGAUAGCCCGGCGAAAGCCGGAUUAAUACCGCAUACGAUCUACGGAUGAAAGCGGGGGACCUUCGGGCCUCGCGCUAUAGGGUUGGCCGAUGGCUGAUUAGCUAGUUGUUGGGGUAAAGGCCUACCAAGGCGACGAUCAGUAGCUGGUCUGAGAGGACGACCAGCCACACUGGGACUGAGACACGGCCCAGACUCCUACGGGAGGCAGCAGUGGGGAAUUUUGGACAAUGGGCGAAAGCCUGAUCCAGCAAUGCCGCGUGUGUGAAGAAGGCCUUCGGGUUGUAAAGCACUUUUGUCCGGAAAGAAAUCCUUGGCCCUAAUACGGUCGGGGGAUGACGGUACCGGAAGAAUAAGCACCGGCUAACUACGUG